AAAAUAAAAGCCCAGCAUUAAAUAGUACCAUCGCCUUUCUAAGUAUAUAUUCAUAGUAGCCCAACUUUUAUCAAUGUUGAGGGACCAGCUGCCCAACAUAUUAGCUGUGGAAGUCCAACAUAGAUUAAAGGCUGGAGCAACUACUAAUCAUGGUAUUCCAGCUAUUUACAUGCUACAACGCUGAUCUACCAUUAGUAAGGGGUAAGCCAACUCUUAUUAAUGGUACAUAUGCCUUCUCUAGACAAAAAUAAUUCGAUGCAAUUUGUUUGAUAUAAAUAAAAGUUUAUAAAAGAAGUAAGGAUUUUGAACUUUAAAAACUUGAUGAGGAGUGAAAGGGUAUUCAUAACUUUAUAAAGAAACGGUCAUAAAAUUUUGGAAUAAUGUACCUAG